UCGGCAUGCAGUCGAGCGGAACGAGUUAUCAUGAACCUUCGGGGAACGAUAACGGCGUCGAGCGGCGGACGGGUGAGUAAUGCCUAGGAAAUUGCCCUGAUGUGGGGGAUAACCAUUGGAAACGAUGGCUAAUACCGCAUGAUGCCUACGGGCCAAAGAGGGGGACCUUCGGGCCUCUCGCGUCAGGAUAUGCCUAGGUGGGAUUAGCUAGUUGGUGAGGUAAGGGCUCACCAAGGCGACGAUCCCUAGCUGGUCUGAGAGGAUGAUCAGCCACACUGGAACUGAGACACGGUCCAGACUCCUACGGGAGGCAGCAGUGGGGAAUAUUGCACAAUGGGCGCAAGCCUGAUGCAGCCAUGCCGCGUGUGUGAAGAAGGCCUUCGGGUUGUAAAGCACUUUCAGUCGUGAGGAAGGUGGUGGUGUUAAUAGCUGUAUUAUUUGACGUUAGCGACAUAAGAAGCACCGGCUAACUCCGUGCCAGCAGCCGCGGUAAUACGGAGGGUGCGAGCGUUAAUCGGAAUUACUGGGCGUAAAGCGCAUGCAGGUGGUUUGUUAAGUCAGAUGUGAAAGCCCGGGGCUCAACCUCGGAAUUGCAUUUGAAACUGGCAGACUAGAGUACUGUAGAGGGGGGGG
rnacentral:rRNA from 1 species